CCUUGAUCUCAAAUCAGGCAGGAUGACCCGCUGAAUUUAAGCAUAUCAGUAAGCGGAGGAAAAGAAACUAACCAGGAUUCCCUUAGUAACGGCGAGUGAAGCGGGAACAGCCCAAUCUGAAAAGCUGGCCGGCCCCGGCGCCGGACCCGCGUUGUAGGUUGAUGAAGCGUUGCCUAGCAGCAGACCUUUCGGCCAAAGUCUCUUGGAACAGAGCGUCAUAGAGGGUGAAAACCCCGUGUGUGGCCGGACGACAUAACAGUCUGNNGCGCCGAUGGUGCGUUUUCUNAGAGUCGGAAUGUUUGGGAUUGCAUUCCAAAGCGGGUGGUAAACUCCAUCUAAGGCUAAAUACUGGCGAGAGACCGAUAGCGAACAAGUACCGUGAGGGAAAGUUGAAAAGCACUCUGGAGAGAGAGUCAAACAGUACGUGAAAUUGCUAGCAGGGAAACGUUGGGCACCAGUACGCGGCGAUCAAUGUCGAUGAUCAGCCGGCCGGUGCGGCGGCGAUUGCGCGGUGCAUCCGCUUCGGGNACGGCCCUAGGGUCNCCCACGCGCAGUCGCANC
rnacentral:rRNA from 1 species